AGAGUUGAUCAUGGCUCAGGAUGAACGCUAGCUACAGGCUUAACACAUGCAAGUCGAGGGGCAGCAUUGGAGUAGCAAUACUCGAGAUGGCGACCGGCGCACGGGUGAGUAACACGUAUCCAACCUGCCGCUUACUCGGGGAUAGCCUUUCGAAAAGAAAGAUUAAUACCCGAUGGUAUAAAGAGUUCGCAUGUUCUCUUUAUUAAAGAAUUUCGGUAAGCGAUGGGGAUGCGUUCCAUUAGAUAGUUGGCGGGGUAACGGCCCACCAAGUCUACGAUGGAUAGGGGUUCUGAGAGGAAGGUCCCCCACAUUGGAACUGAGACACCGGUCCAAACUCCUACGGGAGGCAGCAGUGAGGAAUAUUGGUCAAUGGACGAGAGUCUGAACCAGCCAAAGUAGCGUGAAGGAUGACUGCCCUAUGGGUUGUAAACUUCUUUUAUAAGGGAAUAAAGUGAGGGACGUGUCCCUUUUUGUAUGUACCUUAUGAAUAAGGAUCGGCUAACUCCGUGCCAGCCGCGGC
rnacentral:rRNA from 1 species